ensembl:lncRNA
GUUCAUUCAGUGGUUUGUUACUCCACUGUCAUUUUGGCCCAUUAAGAGUUCAUCCACCAGGUUUAAGGAUGUUUAUGGACUACGGUACCUUUCUAGAGUAAGACUCAUUUCUUUUCAUUGAUACAUUAGCUGAAAAAAUGCUUUCCCCCCCCCAGUGUCUUUGAUCUUUUUAAAACAGCAAACUAAUAAACUGGUAACAUCUUCCACCACCAGGGAAAGCUGAGAGUUUUCAAACUGUGCCAGAGUUGUUAGAUAACCUGUUCUCUGCUUUCUCCACAUCUUCGUCUUUCUCCAAGGAUCUUCCUGGGCAUCCUGGGUUUUGGUCUUGCCAUCAUGUUCUGCACCACUUUCUGCAGAGCAUGCAGUCGCCUAAGGGAGGAGCGUAUAUCACGGGGGUCUAUAAGACAUAGUGACCAGGGCAGGCUCCCGCAGUCCAUAUAUUUCAUUCCCUUCCCCAGGAGCAUAUCACAGCAGGACAGCGAAGAUCAAGGUGGUGAUGCCAUGAGACCACCACGAUACAGCACAACAGUUUACCCAGGACCCCCACCUGCCUAUAAUGAGCUGGAAUUUAAGCCUGAUGAUCUCCCACCUGCUUACAAUGAACAAAGCAUUUCUAUGUAUCCCAUAACACCCCCACCGCCUCACCCAGACAUGGUUCAACCACAGGCACAGUGACAACCAUAAGGAAAAUCAUUAUAGUGUCGAAGUUACGGACACUCACGAUAUUGCACUGCCUCGUGGACAUAAGUAACAAGAAGUUCUAAUCUUUUAAGGGUUGGUUUUAUUGUUAGAUUCAUUUUCUUUAUUGUUUUAAGGCAUGUGAUGAUGGCACGAAGAGAAUCAAAGUUGCGGAAAUGAAAAAGGUUUAAAGUUACAACAUUGUAAACGUGUUUCAGGUUCAGCUUGUUCUCUGUGUUUAUUAGCAGGAUAUCAAAGAAGUGUCCUAUCAGGUAUUUAUUACAUUUAGUGCAGAGCUAAACUGAAAUACAUGUUGUUUUGGUUUGUGCUCAACAUCUUGAGGACGAGAUGCAUUUUUUUCACCACUUUUACAGACUUCAUUUCAACAGACAGUAAAGGGAUGGCAUUGAUGGCAUUUACAACAACACUGUGAGAAGCUGAAAUGGUUGCAUUUUGCUUGUUCACACUCUGUAUAUUUACUCAAAGGAUUUAAAUAUUUGCUAUUCAUUCUUUCAUCAAAAUAUUAGCUUUGGAUGGCUAUUUUGGAAAGCACAGCAUGUAUUCCCUGAGUGCUUUUUAGGUGAUGUUCUAAACGAGCACAUACAGUGAAGUACAUGAUAAUGAAGUAAGCCUGACAAGCAUGUAUUUUUAUAUAUGUAUGCCGGUUAACUUAUGUGACUGUAAUAAGGUGGUUGCAGUGAUGUUGUAGUCAUAUUAUGCUAGAAGAGGCCUUUUUCACAGCAGACAUUUUAUCUCAUGACAGGGUCUGCAUAGGUGUAACUGACUGUUCAGCCGUUGGUUAUGGCUGAACAAUCAGUUAAUGCUAUUUAUUACAGGUGUUGAUGUACCAUUCAUUUCCUGUUGUGAUUUCUGAAAACUUGUUUUAAGACUUUCAUGAAACAGUCACUUUACUUGAAAUGAAAUGUGUAAAUAGACAAAAUUCACAAAUUAAUUGUUCAAAUUGUUCUCAGGAAAAAAAAAUGUGAAUGAUAUUUAUAGUAGCUGGUCUACUUAAAGGUCUCUGAACAGACUGAACACUCCAACAAAGUCUGUAAUAUCAACGUGGAAACGGAGGUUAGAAAAAGAUUUCAAUGUUGAGGAAAUUUUCCAUGUAAAUAUAUGUUAAUAAUAAUGAUUAUAUCACAUGUACAUAUUGUGGAUACGUUUAAAUAAAGAAAAACACUAAAUCAAGCUUGUCAUGAAUUUUAACAAAGUUGGAAUAAAAGUUUAAAAAUGUUUUACAAAGAUUCACUUUAGUGCAACUUAAAACAUUAAAGAAUUUCCAGUUUCUUUGGCUUAAGAAACUCAUGGGUUGCUUUUGCAGCAGGUUUUGAGUCAUUAUCCUCUGAAGUUAAGACUCAUUUGGCUGAAUCUGAGCAGUCAUAAAAGCCCAUACUAUAACUUUGCCUCCAUCAUGUUUGACAGAUGAUAUGGUAUGCUUUGAACAAAGAGCUGUUCCUUUACUACUAUUUUUGAGUGUAGCCAUUAGUUGUUUUCAAUUCAAUAUUUUCAUUUUUCCAACAACAAUUUCAACAAGAGGAAACCUCCAACAAGCUCAGGGAGCGGCAGCCAUCUGCAUGACCAGAUGGGGGUAAGAGGAAGAAGACGGGACAAAAGACACACCGUGGAGUGUAAACCCAC